UACGUAGGGGGCAAGCGUUGUCCGGAUUCAUUGGGCGUAAAGAGCGUGUAGGCGGCCAGGUAGGUCGGGUGUGAAAUCCCCAGGCUUAACCUGGGAACUGCAUUCGAGACUGCAUUGCUAGAGUAUGGGAGAGGGAAGUGGAAUUUCCGGUGUAGCGGUGAAAUGCGUAGAUAUCGGAAGGAACAUCAGUGGCGAAAGCGACUUCCUGGACCAAUACUGACGCUCAUGUGCGAAAGCGUGGGGAGCAAACAGG
rnacentral:rRNA from 1 species